UGCUUUUCAGGCUUAUAUUAUUUAUAUGAGAUGUAGAAGCACUGGCGACCUAGAUGAGGUAUUGAGACGGAAUCACCAAAUGCCCGCUGUUGGUGUUCAUGGAGGAAGGGCUUAUGGAUUAGUUUGUUUCCCCCUUUCAGCUGUCUCUUCUGAAUUUUGAUUUGUUGAGCUUGCUAGAAGAAAGGCGCCACGGUGCUGGGAGGAUGAUCUCUGAUCUUUAAAGCUAUUUUCAGCAAGAGCGUCGGCAAAAAAUUUUUACUUCCGCCUAUCCAACACUUUUGCGAACGAAAAAAUUACCGACACUUAUAAGCAUCGGUAUAGGCUUUAAAAAGCGUUGGAAAAUAUGAAGCAUUGUUUAGUAGAGAUAAUGUUAGAUUCCAAGCGAUUGCAAGUAGGUGAUAUUUAGUCCAUAACAGCAUAUGUAAUUGGUUCAGCCCGUCAAGUAGUCAAGCAUCUCAAGCAAUAAAAAAAUUAGUCCCCAA